GAGGAGCCUGUGACCGCCUGGGUCAGUGGCGCUCCCGCCGCCGGAGGUCACGUGGCAGUUACGCGCGCUGGACGACCUCCUCCAACCUCGCGAGAAGAGCUUAGCCGCUUAGCCGAGGCCCUUAACCCAGCUGGAGAGCUCACGUGGGCACGUGUUGGAUGUUGUCCUCAUUCUCGAAGGACCGGAAGAGGCUGGCUGGUUCUCCCGAGGUCCGGGGUGUUCAGGAAACACCCAUGCUGGCGUCAUCCCGAAGUCGCCUGGAAUUCCAGGCUUGAAGACAUGAAUGUAUUCCUGUUUAUUCCUGACCUUGAAAUAAUCCCAAAUGUGAAAAGCUGUUUGACUCCCAUCACAGAACUACAUAUGUGUGUGUAUUCAUAGACUUGCAGUGUUCACUAGAGGAGAAAUAGUCCACGUCCUACAAACUCCUGGCUUCCUAGUGGAGAAGUAAGAUUCUAGAAUCUGGAUCAAGUGGAAUGAAAUUCAGUUUCUACACAAACCAAAAGGUGACUAACGUGUUUUCAUGACUUAUCAUUUUACUGCUCAAGAUUUCACAGAGAAAGCAGGUAGUUUAAAUUGAGCUUUCAUGUGCAAUCUGGAAGUUAUACUCAG
rnacentral:lncRNA from 1 species